ensembl:lncRNA
CUUUUCAAGACUAAGAGAGACGUAUUUGUUAACCUGUAAUCUGGGCUAACAUAAAAAGAUGACAUGAACUAUUAUACAGCACCUUCAUGCCAAGCUGUUUGGAAAGUUUACACACAAGAAGCCCUUUCUGAGAGUAGGCCAUGAAAAGCAGCACCAGAACUUUACCAAGAGAGAUUGUAACUACAACUGGAAUCAUCUUUUUUGCCCUUGAACACCAUCAGAAUGGUUGGUGGAAAAUGUGUCCAUCAUACAAGGAUAAG